rnacentral:rRNA from 3 species
CCCUCAGAGACGAUGAGGUAGAUAGGUCAUGGGUGGAAGCACGGCGACGUGUGGAGCUGAAUGAUACUAAUCGGUCGAGGCUUUGAUCUA